UACGUAGGGUGCGAGCGUUGUCCGGAAUUAUUGGGCGUAAAGCGCUUGUAGGCGGUCUGUCGCGUCUGCUGUGAAAAUCCGGGGCUCAACCCCGGACUUGCGGUGGGUACGGGCAGACUAGAGUGUGGUAGGGGAGACUGGAAUUCCUGGUGUAGCGGUGAAAUGCGCAGAUAUCAGGAGGAACACCGAUGGCGAAGGCAGGUCUCUGGGCCACUACUGACGCUGAGAAGCGAAAGCAUGGGGAGCGAACAGG
rnacentral:rRNA from 1 species